AAACGACUCUCGGCAACGGAUAUCUCGGCUCUCGCAUCGAUGAAGAACGUAGCGAAAUGCGAUACUUGGUGUGAAUUGCAGAAUCCCGUGAACCAUCGAGUCUUUGAACGCAAGUUGCGCCCGAAGCUUCGGGCGAGGGCACGUCUGCCUGGGSGUCACGCAU
rnacentral:rRNA from 1 species